GACGAACGCUGGCGGCGUGCCUAAUACAUGCAAGUCGAACGGUCUUUUUUAUGGAAGCUUGCUUCCACUGAGAAGAUAGUGGCGAACGGGUGAGUAACACGUGGGUAACCUGCCCAUAAGAGGGGGAUAACAUCCGGAAACGGGUGCUAAUACCGCAUAGUUUUCUUGAUCGCAUGAUCGGGAAAGGAAAGACGGCCUUUGUGCUGUCGCUUAUGGAUGGACCCGCGGCGUAUUAGUUAGUUGGUGAGGUAAUGGCUCACCAAGACGAUGAUACGUAGCCGACCUGAGAGGGUGAUCGGCCACAUUGGGACUGAGACACGGCCCAAAUUCCUACGGGAGGCAGCAGUAGGGAAUCUUCCGCAAUGGACGAAAGUCUGACGGAGCAACGCCGCGUGAGUGAAGAAGGUUUUCGGAUCGUAAAACUCUGUUGUCAGAGAAGAACAAGUUGGAGAGUAACUGCUCCAGCCUUGACGGUAUCUGACCAGAAAGCCACGGCUAACUACGUGCCAGCCGCCGCAGUAAAAC
rnacentral:rRNA from 1 species